UCCGUAGGCGGUGCGGCAAGUCGGAAGUGAAAUCUCAGGGCUUAACCCUGAGGCUGCUUCCGAAACUGCCGUGCUCGAGUGCGAGAGAGGCGAGUGGAAUUGCAGGUGUAGCGGUGAAAUGCGUAGAUAUCCGCAGGAACAUCCGAGGCGAAAGCGGCUCGCUGGAUCGCAACUGACGCUGAGGGACGAAAGCUAGGGGAGCAAACAGGAUUAGAUACCCUGGUAGUCCUAGCCCUAAACGAUCAGGACUGGGCGUGGGCCUCGUACGGGGCUCGUGCCGCAGCUAACGCGUUAAGUCCUGCGCCUGGGGAGUACGGUCGCAAGGCUGAA
rnacentral:rRNA from 1 species